rnacentral:rRNA from 1 species
GACGGAGGAUGCAAGCGUUAUCCGGAAUGAUUGGGCGUAAAGCGUCCGCAGGUGGCAGUUCAGGUCUGCUGUCAAAGACCGGGGCUUAACUUCGGAAAGGCAGUGGAAACUGAACAGCUAGAGUAUGGUAGGGGCAGAGGGAAUUCCUGGUGUAGCGGUGAAAUGCGUAGAUAUCAGGAAGAACAUCGGUGGCGAAGGCGCUCUGCUGGACCAUAACUGACACUCAGGGACGAAAGCUAGGGGAGCGAAUGGG